rnacentral:rRNA from 1 species
CAGCACCUCAAGAGGUCAGGAUGAUUAUUGGGCCUAAAGCAUCCGUAGCCGGCGCUGUAAGUUUUCGGUUAAAUCUGUACGCUCAACGUACAGGCUGCCGGGAAUACUGCAGAGCUAGGGAGUGGGAGAGGUAGACGGUACUCGGUAGGAAGGGGUAAAAUCCUUUGAUCUAUUGAUGACCACCUGUGGCGAAGGCGGUCUACCAGAACACGUCCGACGGUGAGGGAUGAAAGCUGGGGGAGCAAACCGGAUUAGAUACCCGAGUAGUCC